rfam:Camelus ferus unplaced genomic scaffold scaffold726, whole genome shotgun sequence.
GAGGGUAUAGCUCAGCGAUAGAAUGCGUGCCUAGAAUGCACAAGAUCCUGGGUUCAAUCCCCAGUACCUCCA